rnacentral:lncRNA from 1 species
CAUCCUCCUGCUUCAUCCUCAUCCUCCUGCUUCAUCCUCAUCAUCAUCAUCAUCCUGCUUCAUCCUCAUCCUCAUCCUCCUGCUUCAUCCUCAUCCUCCUGCUUCAUCCUCAUCCUCAUCCUCCUGCUUCAUCCUCAUCCUCCUGCUUCAUCCUCAUCAUCAUCAUCAUCCUGCUUCAUCCCCAUCCUCAUCAUCAUCCUGCUUCAUCCUCAUCCUCAUCCUCCUGCUUCAUCCUCAUCCUCCUGCUUCAUCCUUAUCCUCCUGCUUCAUCCCCAUCCUCAUCAUCAUCAUCCUGCUUCAUCCUCAUCCUCAUCCUCCUGCUUCAUCCCCUCCUCCUGCUUCAUCCCACAUCCUCAUCCUCCUGCUUCAGCCCCAUGUUCAUCCUCCCGCUUCAUCCCCAUCCUUGUGCUUCAUCCCCAUCCUCCUGCUUUAUCCCCAUCCUUCUGCUUCAUCCUCAUCCUCGUGCUUCAUCCCACAUUCUCAUCCUCCUGCUUCAUCCCCAUCCUUGUGCUUCAUCCUCAUCCUCAUGCUUCAUCCCCACCCUCCCGCUUCAUCCUCAUCUUCAUCUGCCUGCUUCAGCUCCAUCCUCAUCCUCCUGCUUCAUCCCCAUCCCCCCUGGCCCAUUCCAUCUCCUCACCCCACACAAAUCCCCGGGGCCAGCCCAAGCUCUGCCUCUCACGGAGCAAAGUAAAAAUGAAAGCUUGGAGUAAUCCCACAAGUCUGAGAGAAAUGAAACC